CGCAGGGGACCAGCACCAGUGAAGUAGUUAGUAAAGGACACAAAAGGACAGAGACUCCCAAGCUGUUUCCAAGUUUGGGAGAAGAAAACCCAAAUGUGCAAGUUCCAAUGUAAGAAGAAAUGCAAGAGACAAUAAGUUCCAAGGUCUACUCUGUGCAAUGAUGAAAACCCAAGAUGGCAGGAGACGAAGCAUUGGGAGAAAGUGCCCCAAUGUC
rnacentral:lncRNA from 1 species